AAGAAGUAGGUAGAUUAACCUUCUGGAAGGCGCUUACCACUUUGUGAUUCAUGACUGGGGUGAAGUCGUAACAAGGUAACCGUAGGGGAACCUGCGGUUGGAUCACCUCCUUACCUUAAAGAA
rnacentral:rRNA from 1 species